rnacentral:rRNA from 1 species
AGGGUGGACAGGUGGUGCAUGGUUGUCGUCAGCUCGUGUCGUGAGAUGUUGGGUUAAGUCCCGCAACGAGCGCAACCCUCGACCUUAGUUGCCAGCAUUCAGUUGGGCACUCUAAGGUGACUGCCGGCUAAAAGUCGGAGGAAGGUGGGGAUGACGUCAAAUCAUCAUGCCCCUUAUGACCUGGGCUACACACGUGCUACAAUGGGCGGUACAAAGGGUCGCGAACCCGCGAGGGGGAGCCAAUCCCAAAAAGCCGCUCUCAGUUCGGAUUGCAGGCUGCAACUCGCCUGCAUGAAGCCGGAAUCGCUAGUAAUCGCGGAUCAGCACGCCGCGGUGAAUACGUUCCCGGGCCUU